CUCACAGCCCUGAGAUUAUGACCUGAGCUGAAAUCAAGAGUUGGAUGCUUAACUGCCUGAGCCACCCGGGCUCCCCUGUUUUCUUAUCUUUUAUGCAUAUGAUGCUAGUGUCUACCAAUUCAUGUAUAGUUAUGAGGAUAAAAUGAAAUAAUGUGUGUUAAAGUCCCUUAUAAAGUACUUUUACCCUGGAAGAUGUCUUUCAGGCUUUGAAGAGCUAAAUUGACUAUGGGAUGGUACAGAGGAGAAAAUGCUGGAGCUGGCUAACCUCUCUGUGCACUGGAUUCCAUUCUCUGUGUUUCCUACAUCAUCAGUUUCUCCUUGUCUAUUUGGAUAAUUCUGAUGAAUAUACAAACAUCUGUAAUAGCUCCUAUCUACACAAUAUCACAACAACAGCAAUAAACCUAGACCUUAUUUUUCCCCACCAGGUGUAAUUUUUUUGCUCCUCCUAUCAUAUUUGUCUCUCCCUACUCUUUAUCUAAACUACUCUGUGUUAGUUUGAGUACUCUGAUAAUUGAUACCCAGAUGGGAUUAGAUGUGUGAGAGAUUUAUUGGGGGAAAUGCUAAUUAAUGAUAAGAGGAGGGGAUGUGGAGCAGAAGUAGUUAGGAAGAGCCAUUAAGCCAUUAUGUGGGGCGGAUGCCUGUGAAAGGAGAGAGGGAAGGAAGGAGGAUUAGGGAUGAAGAAUCUCAGUGUGCAGCACAAUUCCAGGAAUGUUUUGGCGAUGUUGAUGGGAAGUCCUUAAGGCAAAAAAUUGCCCAUUAGAGGAGUCUUGCCUCCCACAAAGGUGUGCCUGUACUAAUACCUCACAAGUUUCAAUCACUGGUUGGGAGCAGUCUGGAGAAAGCUUGGUCUCAGCACAAAUCCAGUGGUGGUUCUGCAGGGGUGGCAGCUGGGGCUCUCAGUCCAUGAUGCUCCCUGUAGCAGGAGACCUGAGUCAUAUAUCUCAAUGGCUACCACACACUGCAAUUGGGCUUUUGUACCUACUCAUCCUCUAAAACUGAUCUUGUUAAAAUCACUACUUUCGUCUUGCCAAAUCCAUUGGCAGUCUUUAUAUUGUUCAACUUUUUAUCAGCAUUUGACACAGCUGGUUAUUUUUCCUAAAAUACUUUCCUCACUUGACUUCCAAAAAGCCACAAGCCCCUAGUUUUCCUCCUAUUUUCACUGGUAGAUGAGUAGUCUUUGCUGAUUCAUUCUUGCUGAAAUGGCCUAGGACUCAUUUCUCAGACUGUUCUCUAGCUACACUCACUCCUUUGGUUAUCUGUUCCAACCCUGUGAUUUUAGGACCAUCUAUAUGGUGAUGUCUCCUAAGUUUAUAUCUCGAGUCAAAACCUCUCCCUGAGCUCCAGAAUUGAAGACUCAUCUAUCUAUUGGAUAACAACUUCGAAUCCUCUUGAUUGUCUAACAGAAAUAGGCCCUGAUUCCAACACUUCUCACUCACUUACCACCUGUCCCUGUAUCAGUCCAGGCUCACCCACGAGAAGAGAAAUAAUUUAAAACAGAGGGGAUUUAAUGCAGGAAAUUGGUUAUAGUAGUGAUGUGAGAAGUGAGAAGCCAAAUGGGAUGGUGAGACAACCCUGGAAGCUGCUGCCAUGUCCAGGCUGGGAGGACAGAAGAAGCGGUCAUGAUCCCCCAGAAGAAGCUGGAUCCAUGGUGAUAUCAUUUGGUAGAAGCCAGAGCCAUUCCAUCCCUGCCAGAGAUCCUGCCUGAGGUUGAUGGGGAGCUUUGCUCUUGCAGUGAUUCAGAGACCAGGGUUGCUUCUAAAUCAUUGUUUCUCCAUCUCCUUGGUUAUUAUCAUCAUUGGCAUGGUCCAAACUCGGUCACUGCUAUGUCUGGGUUGUGGCUUCCAGAAAGGGAAAAGGGUGGACAUUCAGGGUAAGGAUUUCUUCUUUAUCCAGUCGUUCAAAAAUGUCACACAUCAUUUUACUCACAUUCUAUUGGCAUAUACUUAAGUACGUACCCACUGGAGCUGCAAGGAAGGCUGAGAAAUGUAGCCUUUAGUUGAGCAGCUAAUUGCAGUAAAGGACAAAUUGAAUUUGAAGGGUACAUCCAUAACCCCUAUCUACACACCUAUCAGCAGCCGGGGUAUUCCAUUUAAGAAACAAAUCAGAUCACAUCUCUCCUUUGGUCACACCUCAUCAAAGGCUUCCCAUUGCCCUUUUACUUAAAUCCAAAUUCCUUGUCAUGAAGUACAAGACCCUUUAAGUUCUGACACCUGCCUACCUUUAUGACCUCAUUCCUAUCACUUGUAAUGGAAUCCUUAAUAUGUUGCACUUGCCAGUUUCUGAGGUAUAAAUAGUUCUACCAUGGCUAUCGAGCUAACAAUGGAACAUCACUGAAUAUAAGGUUGGGGAGAGAGGCCCAGUUUUGGCUCUUGUGAGCUAGUAUAAGCUGACUUCAGCACACUCUUGCAUACCAUUCUCCCAAUGACUCAAAUUUCUCUAGCCACAUAAGUUUCUUUGCUGUUCCCCUAACAGUGGUUCUUAAAGUGUGGUCCAUAGAACAGCGGCAUCAUCACCACUAGGGAACUUGCUAGAUAUGCAAAUUCUUGGGCCCUUUCCCAGGCUUUCGGAAUAAGACAGUCUGUGCAUGGAGCCAGCAAUCUGUUUUAACAAGAUCUCCAGUUGAUUCCAGUGUAUGCUUACAUUGUAGAACCACUGCUCUGAUAACUAAUCUUCCUCCCAACUCAGGCUUUUAUUUCUGCAUCCUCCACCUAAUACCUCUUCCUCCAGAUUUUUUAUGUUAUCUAGAUCUCUGUUCAAAUAUUACUUCUUUGUAGAGGCCAUUCCCUCCUGCCACCCCCACUCUAUCCCUCUUUCUAGAAUGUAAGCUGACAGCAGGGAAUUUGUCCCGUUCCCGGGAUCUCCAACACCAAAAAGACAGUUGGAAUUAAUGUUGGAAUUAGUUUCAUAUUCUAACCAGUGCAUUGGGAAAUACAAAAAGAAAUACAAAAAAAAGAGAAAAGACAAUUACAAUCAGAACUUUAGAGACCAUCUAUCCUUCUUCUCUCACCUCUUUAACCUAAAAUUCAAUGCAUAUAUAGUUCAGCUCUAAGUUAUAUAAAAAUAUUUUAAGGUGAAAAUCACCCAGCAUUUCUAUUUAUCAGUCGUUUCUGGUUCUUUUUUGCAGGCGAUGGGAACAGCCUUAUUAAGAUAUAAUUCAUAUAUCACACAAUUCACUCACUUGAAGUAUACAUUUCAGUAGUUUUUAAUAUAGUCAUAGAAUUGUGCAUCCAUCAACACAAUCAAUUUUAGAAUAUUUUCAGUUUCCUCAACUCUCCCACAUCUAGGCAACCACUAUUCUUUCUGUUUCUAUGAGUUUGCCUGUUCUAGACAUUUCGUAUCAAUGAAUAAUAAAAUAUGUGUUCUUUUGUGACUUGCUUCUUUCACUUAGUGUAAUAUUUUGUAACAUGCAUCAGAACUUCAUUUGUUUUUAUUGCCAAAUAAUAUUUCAUUGUACAGAUAUACCACAUUUUAUUUAUCCAUUGGGUUGUGUCCACUUUUUGGUUAUAAUAAUGCUGCUAUAACAUUCAUGUACAAGUGUUGUGUGGAUAUAUGUUUUCAUUUUUCUUGGAUAUAAUUCAGUAGUGGAAUCAACGAACUGUAUGGCCGUAUGAUAACUCUGUGUUUAAACUUUUGAAGAAUGACCGGAUUGUUUUCCAAAGAAGUCAAACCAUUUUGCAUUUCCACCAGUAGUGUAUAAGGGUUCCAAUGU